GGGCCCUAUCUUGUACCCGGCGCAAUGCAGCACAAAGCCCGACGCAAGUGUCUUUGCUAUUUUAAGACCGAUGCAGUUCUGUGUAAAUAGCAAAUG